GACGAACGCUGGCGGCGUGCUUAACACAUGCAAGUCGAACGAAGAGCGAUGGAAGCUUGCUUCUAUCAAUCUUAGUGGCGAACGGGUGAGUAACGCGUAAUCAACCUGCCCUUCAGAGGGGGACAACAGUUGGAAACGACUGCUAAUACCGCAUACGAUCUAAUCUCGGCAUCGAGAAUGGAUGAAAGGUGGCCUCUAUUUAUAAGCUAUCACUGAAGGAGGGGAUUUCGUCUGAUUAGCUAGUUGGAAGGGUAACGGCCCACCAAGGCGAUGAUCAGUAGCCGGUCUGAGAGGAUGAACGGCCACAUUGGGACUGAGACACGGCCCAGACUCCUACGGGAGGCAGCAGUGGGGAAUCUUCCGCAAUGGACGAAAGUCUGACGGAGCAACGCCGCGUGAGUGAUGACGGCCUUCGGGUUGUAAAGCUCUGUUAAUCGGGACGAAAGGCC
rnacentral:rRNA from 1 species